GUGCUCGCUUCGGCAGCACAUAUACUAAAACUGGAACAAUACAGAGAAGAUUAGCAUGGCCCCUGCGCAAGAAAGAGACAACUUUAUGCUUAGUAAUUAAGUAUACAC